CACCCCAGAUCAUCUCAGCAGUUUUUGUCUUUUUACAGAAAGGAGGGACUUGACUAGCCCAACCUUACUCACACCUCCUGUUUCCAAGAACUGCGUUCCACAGUCACUUUCCCAAGAGAAGCAUUUCCAGAGAGACACCUGCAGCAUCUCCCCUGUUCAGUCAUGCUCCUGUUGCUCCUGGCAGUACUGGGGAUGAUUUUUGGCCUGAGAGAUGCCAGAGCCCAGACUGUGACCCAGAAGGAUAGCCCUGUCACUGUUUCUGAAGGAGAUGUUCUGGAGCUGGGAUGCAACUAUUCAUACAGUGCAACUGUUUAUCUCUACUGGUAUGUCCAGUACCCUGGCCAAGGCCUCCAGUUUCUCCUCAGAUACUUCUCAGGGGACCCCAUUGUUAAAGGCAUCAAUGGCUUUGAGGCUGAAUUUAGGAAGAGUGAAUCUUCCUUCAACUUGAGGAAAUACCCUGUGCAUUGGAGUGACUCAGCUGUGUACUUCUGUGCCGUGAGUGCCACAGUGCCUGGGACUGCAGGGGGAGCUGAACACAAACUGUGA